GACGAACGCUGGCGGCGUGCCUAAUACAUGCAAGUCGAACGCUGAAGGAGGAGCUUGCUUCUCCGGAUGAGUUGCGAACGGGUGAGUAACGCGUAGGUAACCUGCCUGGUAGCGGGGGAUAACUAUUGGAAACGAUAGCUAAUACCGCAUAACAGUAGAUGUUGCAUGACAUUUGCUUAAAAGUUGCAAUUGCAUCACUACCAGAUGGACCUGCGUUGUAUUAGCUAGUUGGUGAGGUAACGGCUCACCAAGGCGACGAUACAUAGCCGACCUGAGAGGGUGAUCGGCCACACUGGGACUGAGACACGGCCCAGACUCCUACGGGAGGCAGCAGUAGGGAAUCUUCGGCAAUGGACGGAAGUCUGACCGAGCAACGCCGCGUGAGUGAAGAAGGUUUUCGGAUCGUAAAGCUCUGUUGUAAGAGAAGAACGAGUGUGAGAGUGGAAAGUUCACACUGUGACGGUAUCUUACCAGAAAGGGACGGCUAACUACGUG
rnacentral:rRNA from 1 species